rnacentral:rRNA from 1 species
ACAGUGACUCUCGGCAACGGAUAUCUCAACUCUCGCAUCGAUGAAGAAUGCAUCAAAAUGUGUUACCUGGUGUGAAUURCAGAAUCCCGUGAAUCAUCGAGUCUUUGAACGCAAGUUGCGCCCGAGGCCUUUCGGCCGAGGGCACGCCUGCCUGGGCGUCACG